GGCUAGGUAGCAAAAUGGUCAUGCAUAGAAUUGCAAAUUCUAAAAUAUUGGUUCAAAUCCAAUUCUAGCCU
rnacentral:tRNA from 1 species